ACGGGUGAGUAAUGCCUAGGAAUCUGCCUGGUAGUGGGGGAUAACGCUCGGAAACGGACGCUAAUACCGCAUACGUCCUACGGGAGAAAGCAGGGGACCUUCGGGCCUUGCGCUAUCAGAUGAGCCUAGGUCGGAUUAGCUAGUUGGUGAGGUAAUGGCUCACCAAGGCGACGAUCCGUAACUGGUCUGAGAGGAUGAUCAGUCACACUGGAACUGAGACACGGUCCAGACUCCUACGGGAGGCAGCAGUGGGGAAUAUUGGACAAUGGGCGAAAGCCUGAUCCAGCCAUGCCGCGUGUGUGAAGAAGGUCUUCGGAUUGUAAAGCACUUUAAGUUGGGAGGAAGGGCAUUAACCUAAUACGUUAGUGUUUUGACGUUACCGGCAGAAUAAGCACCGGCUAACUCUGUGCCAGCAGCCGCGGUAAUACAGAGGGUGCAAGCGUUAAUCGGAAUUACUGGGCGUAAAGCGCGCGUAGGUGGUUUGUUAAGUUGGAUGUGAAAUCCCCGGGCUCAACCUGGGAACUGCAUUCAAAACUGACAAGCUAGAGUAUGGUAGAGGGUGGUGGAAUUUCCUGUGUAGCG
rnacentral:rRNA from 1 species